rnacentral:rRNA from 1 species
UUGAAAGGGAAACGAUUGAAGUCAGUCGUACCGGUCGGUAAUCAGCCUUUCGGCGUGAUUAUGUGGAGCGUGAGGAGUUAAACGCCCUCAUGCCUGCAUAUUCGUGUUCUUUGGGUGUACUUACCCGCAUGGUAGGUUAACAUCAAUUUCGAACGUCAUAAAAUGGUUGGAGGAAUGUAGCUUCGAUCUCGUAUUGAAGUGUUAUAGCCUUCGGCAGAUGUGAUGAUCGGGAUUGAGGAUUGCAACGGAUACCCCUCGGGCUACCCGUCUGAUCUCUGAAAGUUACUCUGGUGCCGAAAGCUCGCUUACGGUCAUCAAAGUUGACGUUCAACAGGUUAGAACGGGAUAAAUUCGUUAAGGAUGUUGACGUA